UGAAAUCUGCAGGUGUAGAUAGUGGAACGGUGUUCUUCACUUGCAUUCCACCUGGUCCUGGGCUCAGUGGCUCCACAGAGACAAGCAGAUUUGUACACGAGGAUUACAAACACUCCUCAGUGGCUACGAAAAAACACUCUAAAGAAGGGACCUACUUCCCUCGGUUGCUGACAGCCACAGGGGUGGACUCGGGAGAACUGUGGCUGAAAACUGCUCUCUGACCAUCCUGGGUAAAAUCAUGCUACAUUUCUUUUUUUUUUUUUUUUAAUGUUAAAUCCAUAGCCAUAGUAUUUGAGUGCCUGCAGACAUCUCCUUGACACGUACCCCUGAACAUCUUGGCAACGAUAUCCCUGUCUGUCCAAAGCUGCCCUAGGAUAGAUUGGUUUUGAAAUGCCAUUCCUUAAAUGUUAAAGCCUUUAAAAGCAUAGGUGACUGAGGAACUAAGCAAUCCCAUGCCCACGGCAUACCAUGCUUCUUGAAACUGCAUUGUCCAGCCAUUCCAUCAGCUUUUAUGCACUGAUGUAUGUUUUUUCUCAAAUGCUUUGAGGGUGACUUCAUUAUUGAAGCAAUGACUUUGGUGUUGUGAGCUCAGAAGAUGAUGUGAAAGCCUGGCUUUGGCAAGCAAGACAGCUUGACUUGUAUCUUGGUAAAGCAGGACCCUCCUAAAUCUUUCUACCUUUGCCCAAGGGUUCAGGUUUAUGUGUGUACUGCCUUAAUUAAAAGCUGGUUGGGAUACAAGAUGGACACAGUGCAACACCAUUGCUUGUAUCACACUUUAUGCCAUGUGAGAGCUGAUCCAUGUUCCCAAAGAACUGACAACAAUCUAUUGGCAAAACCAAGAUGAGAAGGGACAAAUAAAGGUGCAGAAAUGUUUCCAGUGUGAGGAAGAGGCAGCAUCUCUUGAUCUCUGAAUGUAGCGAGUAUUCACUUUACUUUCAUGCUUUAUGAUGUAUGGGGAUAAAAUGUUGUACAAACAAUUAUAGAGGAGCUUCAAUGGAACUGUAACAAUUUUCCUUGGCCUCUGCCUUGCAACGACCAAAACCAGAUUUUAUUUGUAUGGAUCUGCCAGAAAUAUCAGGACAGGAAUUCCUCUCUUAUGUCGAUUGACCUCGAGGAGCGCUGGAGGACUGGCAGGGCUCCGGGAUGACAAGGGCAAACCCAAGCUGCAGGUUUUUUCUCAGCAAAAUAAAAGCGCGAUGAGGAAGCAGGA